rnacentral:rRNA from 1 species
UACGUAGGGUGCGAGCGUUUAAUCGGAAUUACUGGGCGUAAAGCGUGCGCAGGCGGUCUGUUAAGACAGAUGUGAAAUCCCCGGGCUUAACCUGGGAACUGCAUUUGUGACUGGCAGGCUAGAGUAUGGCAGAGGGGGGGUAGAAUUCCACGUGUAGCAGUGAAAUGCGUAGAGAUGUGGAGGAAUACCGAUGGCGAAGGCAGCCCCCCUGGGCCAAUACUGACGCUCAUG